UAAGAUGGUAGUAAAACGCCCAUUACUCUGCCUUGUCAAGACAAAAUUGUAGGUUGAACUCCUACACAUCUUAAAAACA
rnacentral:tRNA from 1 species